AACAGUUGCUUAGCUAAAACUACUUGAGAUUCCGGGCAACCGUCCUCGGCGAGUUGAGAUCGCAGUCGUCUGAGAGAUCCUCGCGGUCCAUCUGAAAUUGUCAAUGCUUUGAAACUCCCUCGAUCCGUCAGUGACAGAACAACGUAACAGAUGACUGACACUUUCUACCAUCGCACCAACUAUUCGCGUCGAUCCGUCACGACGUUAUUGCCGUUUCAAUGCGACCGACACGCAACAACGGAAAUUGAAUUGCAACGAAAAUAUUCGAAAGUGAAAUUGUUAUUAUGUUACCGUGAAGUGUCCAUUGUUUUCGACCAGAUCUGCCAGAAAGUGGUACGAUGCCAGCCAUGAUUUCGAGAGCUCCGACGAGAACCGUUCAAGACGACCGACACUUCGCUUGUUAAUUCUGUUACGCGAAUAAUUAAUUCGCCACAGAAAAUCCUUAUCCCGACACAAGCUCGAGACCGCUCGACGGUGCUACUGUUAGAAAAUUCCCGUGUUCAAGCAUGGUUUGUGUAAAGCGCACGCGUGGCCGUUACAGAAAGGUUAGGUUCUCGAGGAACCGUCAAGGCGUAGCAGCAAGUACAUCGAUGAGCUCAUUGAAAAUGAAUGACUUUCCCUCCGGAACGGUGACAGAUCAACGCAAAAGUCAUAACUGUCAAUGAUGACGACAGGCUACAAAUAAAAAUGAAAAGAAAAAGGAAAAAAAAGGACCGAGAAGAUAGAAAUUCGUGGAAGAACGUGUAUCAUUGAAAAAUGGUAAAUAAAGACGCAGCAAGAUCGAACUGAAUAACAAAGGUUACGAAAGAUUGAGAGCAGCAGCGUAAUGCGAAGUGAAAACAAAUUACCAUUCACUUUCAUUUAUUAAAGUCGGAGGAUUGUUCGCAAUCAGUGUGCAACUCGGUGCGUCGUGAUCGAGGAUAUGUAACAAAGAGCCAAGAAACAAGUCAUUUACAUUUUUACAUGUUUCUUUGCGCACCUUCGAAAAAACCACUGAUCGUCACGGUACACAGUUUCACGGUCUACGUCGUGUUAUUGCAAUCAUCGAACCCAUCGAUUAACCCUUUGCACUCGAGAGGCGACUCCCAGUCUAGGAUGAUUGAAUCCAACAAAAUUAUAAAUUUUGGGAUUUACCAUUAACCUUAUACUGCAUCAGUAUGUGAGCUAUUACAAGGAAAUGGUUACCUAAUUUAUGUAUGAUUCAUUGUUAAAUUCAUUUUAACCCUUUGUAGGCCCGUGUAAUUUUGCAGUCACAUAUCAGUAUACUGACUUGUUGAUUUCUUUCAUUUUCCACUGAAAGUGGUGAGUAAAAUUAAGUAAUCAGUAAACUGAAACUUUGAAAGUUACAAAAUAUAUGUUUGAUGAAAUUAUUGAAACAAUUGAAUACAUUAAUUCUACUGCAUAGAUUUUGUUAUAAUAAUGAACAAAAAUUCGACCCACAGAGGGUUAAAGAAUCUCGUCUAUAUCAAAUUAGAGAGUACAGAGUACUUCAAGUGAAAAGCUUUCGAGUGCAAAGGGUGAUUACCGAAGACGAAGUAACUAUCUUGAAGUAACGAGCGAGAUGCGGAGCCAGUUUUGACGAUUUCGCGAUUCCUAGCGGACAAACGGCGGAGCUGAGUCGCUCAGCAGAACCACGUCUUAGCUGGCUCCUCGUGUAGUCAGAAAUCAGCGCGGAUGCCGGCCCUACGAAGGAAACGAGCGUCAUCAAUGACACCGAUGGUGUGUACCUCGAGACACAUGGAUGUACUGGACUUACAAAUUUCCUGGACCUGUAUAGGGUGGCGGAUUUGGACGGACGUACGGGUUGCAUCGCUCGUUGGAGACUCUGCAACAAUAUCCUCGUCGGAAUGACAAUAAAAAAGGGUUAAACAGCACCUACCUAGGGCUUCUCAGCAAAGAGUCAUUGGGGCUCGAUGGCUGUGCCGCGAGCGACUUCAAAGUUCCCCUCUCCGACGCAGCAUAUUGGACCAUUUGUAUGUUGUUGCUACCGAUUCCUUCCGCAGUUCUAGACUCUCUGUCCUCGUCGCUGAAACAAAGAGCAAUAUCACUAGACAAUUUGACCCAUCCCUGGGUCAGCCGAAGUGGCAAGCCUUCGGUGAAACCAGCCAGAACGCCACAGCACUAUGGCACCGCAAAAUCGCACUCCUUACGUGCACGGACAAUUAGGUCACGGUUAGAGAAUCGCCAAAACGAUUAGAACACACUGGUUAACACGCUCCGUGCCGUGUGUACCGUUUAUGGUGUAUUAGGAAUUUUUGUGAGGGAACAUUUGUGUCAAAGAAAUGGUACACGUCGUGAAACUAGAAUGUGGAAUGAGAGAAUGUAUGAAGUUAGAAAAAGCUUCAAUUAAACCCUUUGAGGAUGAAUGUUGGCAUUUAGACAAGAACUUUGAUAUUUGGCAUACCGUUGUACAAAUCGGUAUAUAGUCUCUUUGCUCUAUUAUUUAAGUAUUCGACGUGUAAUUUGGCUCUGUUUACUGAAGGUUUUGUGGACUAUAAACAUUCCUCCACAAAGGGUUAAUCUAUCAUUGGAAAUCUUAAGAUAUUUACUUUCACUUAAGAUAUAACUGGAAUUUCCGGUGGCACGGAACGCGUUGGCACUAGAUUUAGGGAAUGGUCUGACGUACAUAGAAUUUUAUAAACAUUAGUUAUAGAAUUUUGUAAACAGCGAUUGUACAGAUAUGUAUCCAGAUUGUAUUUUUAACUCUAUAGUUCUGCAAAUCUGAAUGAAUGAAAUUUAUGAUUGUUAUAAAACUACAAAUUACAAAUAGUUAUAAAACUACAAAUUAC